GCUGGGGGACGGUAGCUCAUUUUGGGUUCAGUGUGUUGUGGACAUUGGAUUAUACACCGUACGUCCGCAUUAGAGGAGGAGUUCGGAUGUGAUAAUCGAAAAUGACCGGAUGAUAUGGGUGUUGAGGGAGGUUCCUUUUUGGAUUUUGUGCUUUUUCUCAUAUGUGCUAAUGUAGCUUUGAAGCUUUUCGGCGUAUGCGACGUUUGCAUACCGUACACGAUUCUCCUUACCGUUCUCAUCAUUGGCUGCAUUCUCAUCUCCCGUUGGCGAAGCUUCAACGGUCACUCAUCGAGAUGCUGGAUUGGAUCAUCGGGUUGUUCUUUAUCUGGAUGCUGUUCCCGGGGCACGGAGCCGGGAAACCGUUUCAACGACGAAAGAAACGAUCGCUGCCAAAGCUCAGCAGCCAGGACGAGGACGGGCCAAACCCCCACACCCAAUACACAGGCGUCACACACUUCGAGCCUAUACCUCACGAUCAUGACUUCUGUGAAAGGGUCGUCAUCAACGUGAGCGGGUUACGGUUUGAGACACAGCUUCGCACGCUAAACCAGUUUCCGGACACACUGCUUGGCGAUCCAGCGCGGCGGAUAAGGUACUUCGAUCCUCUGCGAAAUGAAUACUUCUUCGACCGCAAUCGACCUUCUUUCGAUGCGAUCCUCUACUACUACCAGAGCGGCGGUCGUCUUCGACGCCCGGUCAACGUGCCCCUCGAUGUCUUCUCCGAAGAAAUCAAAUUCUACGAACUGGGGGAGAUGGCCACUAACAAGUUCAGGGAGGACGAGGGUUUCAUUAAAGAGGAGGAGAAGCCACUACCGUCGCACGAGCUACAGAGGAAGGUGUGGCUGCUAUUCGAGUAUCCGGAGAGCUCGCAGGCGGCGCGAGUCGUUGCCAUCAUAUCCGUGUUCGUAAUCCUUCUGUCCAUCGUGAUCUUCUGCCUUGAGACCCUCCCCGAGUUUAAGCACUACAAAGUGUUUAACACGACGGCGAAUGUCACAAAGAUCGAAGAGGACGAAGUGCCGGACAUCACGGACCCGUUCUUCCUAAUAGAGACUAUUUGUAUCGUCUGGUUCACGUUUGAGUUAUCAGUACGCUUCCUCGCCUGCCCAAACAAGUUAAACUUCUUCCGUGACGUAAUGAACAUCAUCGAUAUCAUCGCCAUCAUUCCAUAUUUCAUUACACUGGCUACGGUGGUGGCCGAGGAGGAGGACACGCUCAACCUGCCAAAGGCUCCGGUCAGCCCGCAGGACAAGAGUACCAACCAGGCGAUGUCCCUAGCGAUUUUAAGGGUCAUACGGCUGGUCAGGGUGUUCCGAAUAUUCAAACUCUCCAGGCACAGUAAAGGGCUACAAAUUCUAGGUCGCACUCUUAAGGCCUCGAUGCGUGAGCUUGGCCUGCUCAUCUUUUUCCUGUUCAUUGGUGUGGUGCUAUUCUCGUCGGCUGUAUACUUCGCGGAGGCCGGCUCCGAGAAUUCAUUCUUCAAGUCCAUUCCGGACGCUUUCUGGUGGGCCGUUGUCACGAUGACGACCGUGGGCUAUGGUGACAUGACGUAUGAUGCCCGUCGGAGUUUGGGGCAAGAUCGUUGGAUCGCUCUGCGCGAUUGCUGGUGUCCUGACGAUCGCUCUACCCGUUCCCGUCAUCGUCUCGAAUUUCAACUACUUUUAUCAUCGGGAGACUGACCAGGAGGAAAUGCAGUCACAGAACUUUAAUCAUGUCACCAGUUGCCCGUAUCUUCCCGGUACACUGGGUCAACACAUGAAGAAGAACUCGAUGUCGGAGUCAUCUUCAGACAUAAUUGAGCUCGAGGAGGGGAUUUUGUUGACCCAUCACGAGGUUGCCAGAAGGCCCAACUGCAACUCCCGCCACAACAAUAACAUUAACCCAG
rnacentral:misc_RNA from 1 species